CCUCUCACAAGGCUGCAGUCAAGCUGUUGUCUGGUUCUUCUUCUCAAGGCUCAAUGGGGGCUGGAGGAUCUCGUCCACACUCACCCAUAUGGCUGCUUUCAGGCCUCACUUCCUCACUGGCUGUUGGGCACCUUGCCAUGUGGCCUCUUCAUAGGCUGCCUGAGUGUCCUUUUCAAAUGGCAAGUGGCUUUUUCCAGAACAGCAUAUCCAAGAGAGAAAGAGAAAAGAAAAGAAGAGACAAGGAGAACCCACUGUAGAGGCUUCAGUCUUGUAAAACCUAACCUCGGAAGUGACACAUACCAUCCUUUCUGCCAUCACUGGUCACUUUAGACCAGCUGUGGUUCACUGCAGGCAAGGGCUCCAUGAGGGUGUGAACACGAGGAGGUGGGACCGCUGUGCGGCGCCCUCGGAAGCUGCCUCCCUUAGACAACAAGGACACAGUCCGUGCUCGCUGCUGGACGUAGAGGGUAAAGUCCCAGGAGCAAUAGCUCCAGGAAAUCACAGCGGGUGGGGGGCGGCAUUCCCCAAAAAGGUCAUGCAGCGCAAACCGAAAGUACACAUCUGCCACAAAUAAAUACUGCAAUCUACUUCCUCAUCGGCCGACUCAAGGAGGGCUGUGUGGGGCUGAACCUCCAUGAAGGCAUCCUUCCUCUACCCAGGUGUCCAUACAUUCCUGCAGAAGAGCAGCCCAGUGCCCAGAGUCCUGCGGUUUUCUACAAGCCUGUUUGAGGUGAAGGAAACGGAGACUGAAGAAGUAAAAGAACCACCAGGAAGCGGCAGAACGGAAAUCAAAUCCAAGUACAGACGUCCAAGGCACUCUUUUGGACGUCUGUUGAGUUGUCCAAAAGACUGGCAGCCUCUGAACACUGGAAAGGGUUAUCCCUGGCCCACUUAUCCCUACUGGGGCCACGCAUUCCAGGUGCGAAUGAAUGGACUGGAUCAAGUAGAGUGCACAUGUCUUUCACUCACUCUUUGA
rnacentral:lncRNA from 13 species